rnacentral:ncRNA from 1 species
GUGUUGUAUGAAGAGAGAGAAGGUUAGCACUCCCCUUGACAAAGAUGGAAGAGGCUCUCGGGCCUCACAACACAAAUAUGGUUAAGGCAUUGCCACCUACUUCAUGGCAUUUAACCGUCAUUUUUC